GAUGAACGCUAGCGGGAGGCCUAAUACAUGCAAGUCGAGCGGUAGAGUGACUUCGGUUGCUUGAGAGCGGCGAACGGGUGAGUAACGCGUACACAAUCUACCUUUAAGAGGGGAAUAGCCCUGGGAAACUGGGAUUAAUGCCCCAUGGCAUCACGAGACGGCAUCGUUUUGUGAUUAAAGCUGAGGUGCUUAGAGAUGAGUGUGCGUCUGAUUAGCUAGUUGGUGCGGUAACGGCGCACCAAGGCGACGAUCAGUAGGGGGCGUGAGAGCGUGACCCCCACACGGGUACGUGAGACACGGACCCGACUCCUACGGAGGCAGCAGUAAGGAA
rnacentral:rRNA from 1 species